rnacentral:rRNA from 1 species
UACGAAGGGGGCUAGCGUUGUUCGGAUUUACUGGGCGUAAAGCGCACGUAGGCGGAUCGUUAAGUCGGGGGUGAAAUCCUGGAGCUCAACUCCAGAACUGCCUUCGAUACUGGCGAUCUAGAGUCCGGAAGAGGUGAGUGGAACUCCUAGUGUAGAGGUGGAAUUCGUAGAUAUUAGGAAGAACACCAGUGGCGAAGGCGGCUCACUGGUCCGGUACUGACGCUGAGGUGCGAAAGCGUGGGGAGCAUACAGG